rnacentral:rRNA from 1 species
UGGGGAAUCUUGCGCAAUGGACGAAAGUCUGACGCAGCCACGCCGCGUGAGUGAAGAAGGCCUUCGGGUUGUAAAGCUCUGUCGAGCGGGACGAACAAGCUUAGGGUGAAUAGCCCUAGGCCCUGACGGUACCGCUAAAGGAAGCACCGGCUAACUCUGUGCCAGCAGCCGCGGUAAUACAGAGGGUGCAAGCGUUGUUCGGAAUUAUUGGGCUAAAGGGCAGGUAGGUGGUCUUGUUUGUCUGGGGUGAAAGCCUUGAGCUUAACUCAAGAAGUGCCUCGGAAACGGCAAGACUCGAGUCCUAGAGAGGGUCGUGGAAUUCCCGGUGUAGCGGUGAAAUGCGUAGAGAUCGGGAGGAACACCAGAGGCGAAAGCGGCGACCUGGAUAGGUACUGACACUCAACUGCGAAAGCGUGGGAGCAAACAGGAUUAGACACCCUGGUAGUCCACGCCGUAAACGAUGGGUACUAGGCUUGGU